UUGUUCCACUAUUUCUAGUUA
rnacentral:piRNA from 1 species